AUACGUAGGGUGCAAGCGUUAAUCGGAAUUACUGGGCGUAAAGCGUGCGCAGGCGGUUUUGUAAGACAGAGGUGAAAUCCCCGGGCUCAACCUGGGAACUGCCUUUGUGACUGCAAGGCUAGAGUACGGCAGAGGGGGAUGGAAUUCCGCGUGUAGCAGUGAAAUGCGUAGAUAUGCGGAGGAACACCGAUGGCGAAGGCAAUCCCCUGGGCCUGUACUGACGCUCAUGCACGAAAGCGUGGGGAGCAAACAGGAUUAGAUACCCUGGUAGUCCACGCCCUAAACGAUGUCAACUGGUUGUUGGGUCUUCAUUGACUCAGUAACGAAGCUAACGCGUGAAGUUGACCGCCUGGGGAGUACGGCCGCAAGGCUGAAACUCAAAUGAAUUGACGGGG
rnacentral:rRNA from 1 species